GAUCCACCUUCUGCUGCCCAGCCACAUCUGUCUGCACUGGUGGCUUUGGGAGCAUCAGCCUUGUGAAAAGCACAUUUAUGGUGAUUUCUGUGACAGGGCUGUGCCCUGCGCUGUGGCAGCUCCUGUGCCCUCAGCCAACACCACCUUCAGCUGGCCUGGGCUGACCCUUCCUGGUGCCAACGCCACUGGUUUGUCCCUGGGACGUGGCACUGGGGAUGCUGGGAAUGAGUCCUGCAGCGACAGGGACACCUUUACCUGAACACCAGAGCCAGGACGCUUCUGGUUCCAUGAUGGGAAUUGCUGAAUAUUUCCUGAGGCAGACAGGGGACAAUACUCAUCAUCUUUUGGGACAACAUCAAUCAUCCCUCAGCCACAGCCCAUCUCUGUCAUCCCCACCAACACCAGGGAUCCCCCAAGAGCUAGAAUUGCACAGAAUUCACGAAGGCAGCAAGAGGAGAAAUUCCUGCAGAACGACAGAAUCGCCUGGAGAAAACCUCCCAAGCCAUUGAGGCCAACCUUCAACUGAGGAAUUUCCUGUGCAGCUCCUGCCCUGCCAGGCCAGCGGCUCGGUGCUGGCAGCAGGGAUGGGCACGGCUCUGCUGCAGGAGGGGCUGCAGCCACCCCGGAGGGAGCCCAGCUCCUGCCCUGGAGAGCUCACAGCAUCAUCCAGAUCCCUUCCUGCAGCCAAAGCAAGGGGAAUCCAGUCCAAAUGCCACAUUUUGAGAUGCAUGAGGCAGCAGAGGAGAGACAGCACCAAUAUUUGUAAUUGCCUGGCUCCUGUUGGACAUUUCCAGAUGCUGCAGGAGUGAUGGUGCCUCCUCAGAGCGUUGUUGCAUUUCCUGGAUGCAGGAUCCUUCUGCCACUCCCUCUUCCUUGUAACCCCAGGAGCCGCAUCUUUGGGGAGGGAGGGAGAUGAGU